GAUGAAGAACGUAGCGAAAUGCGAUAAGUAAUGCGAAUUGCAGAAUUUCCGUGAGUCAUCGAAUCUUUGAACGCACAUUGCGCCCACUGGUAUUCCGGUGGGCAUGCCUGUUCGAGCGUCAUUAUCCUCCCUCAAACCCCGGGUUUGGUGUUGGACCCAAGUUGUGUGAACAACUGGUCUCGAAGACAAUGACGGCGUCCGUGGGACCCUCGGUGCAACGAGCUUUUAGGAGCACGCAUCGAGUUGCAAGGACCUUCCGGGCCGGUCUCCUUUACCAUUUUAAAAGGUUGACCUCGGAUCAGGUAGGAAUACCCGCUGAACUUAAGCAUAUCAAUAAGCGGAGGA
rnacentral:misc_RNA from 1 species